UACGGAGGAUGCGAGCGUUAUCCAGAUUUAUUGGGUUUAAAGGGUGCGUAGGCGGGAUGCCAAGUCAGCGGUAAAAAUGCGGUGCUCAACGCCGUCGAGCCGUUGAAACUGGCGUUCUUGAGUGGGCGAGAAGUAUGCGGAAUGCGUGGUGUAGCGGUGAAAUGCAUAGAUAUCACGCAGAACUCCGAUUGCGAAGGCAGCAUACCGGCGCCCUACUGACGCUGAGGCACGAAAGCGUGGGUAUCGAACAGG
rnacentral:rRNA from 1 species